GACGAACGCUGGCGGCGUGCUUAACACAUGCAAGUCGAACGGAAAGGCCCUGCUUUUGUGGGGUGCUCGAGUGGCGAACGGGUGAGUAACACGUGAGUAACCUGCCCUUGACUUUGGGAUAACUUCAGGAAACUGGGGCUAAUACCGGAUAGGAGCUCCUGCUGCAUGGUGGGGGUUGGAAAGUUUCGGCGGUUGGGGAUGGACUCGCGGCUUAUCAGCUUGUUGGUGGGGUAGUGGCUUACCAAGGCUUUGACGGGUAGGCGGCAUGAGAGGGGGACCGGCCACAUUGGGACUGAGAUACGGCCCAGACUCCUACGGGAGGCAGCAGUGGGGAAUAUUGCACAAUGGGCGGAAGCCUGAUGCAGCAACGCCGCGUGCGGGAUGACGGCCUUCGGGUUGUAAACCGCUUUCGCCUGUGACGAAGCGUGAGUGACGGUAAUGGGUAAAGAAGCACCGGCUAACUACGUG
rnacentral:rRNA from 1 species